CAUAGGGGCCUGGGCAAGCGCAUGGUGUUGGACGAACAACUUAUUUGUGGGAUUCACUGCAAACCACUGAUGAGUUAGAAAUCAUGCUGCCUUUAUCCGCGACUCCAGGCUAAUCUAUAGAGGUAAAUAAGAGUUUAUCAGCGACACACUCCAGCGACAUCCAAUGUAUUUCCUUGUUCUUUCAAUUUUAAUUUUUCUGCUAUCAACAUGUCUUCCCCUUCUACACCUACCAAAGGGAAUUUUUUUAGCUUCACGGGAAUUUAAUUUUCUAUCCAACUAAUACCAACCUAACGGUCCAUGAAAGAGUUGUUAUGUGUUGCUGUUCUAAUGAUGUAUUCCAGGCAAACCUACAGCAAUCCACUAAUACUUCUAUCUUUUGUUACAGUAUGGUUGUAUUGAGUUGGUCAAUUGUACGAAUUGCACAUUAUAGUCCAUUUUUGCACGGUUAUUAAAACAUGAUUAUAAGUUGUAUACUACUGUUCUGUAUUUUAUCUCCAGAACUAGGGUUUGUUUGCUUGUUUAAUUUUUUUAUAAAUUGUAGGCUACUCUGUGGUGGUAAUCAUUUAAACUAUAAAUGGAUGUGAUUGGGAUGACUAUGACUGUCUGUAAUUUCACCCUUAUUUAUGCUUAGUAUGCUACAAUUUUAAGCACAAAUUAAGAGACGACAAACUCAUAUAUUACAUCUAUAUGGCUGAAAAUAUAGAUGCGGCAAUUAUCUAUUGGUCUGGUAAUAGCAGCUUGCGAGCUGCUAUUACUAUCUUACAAUUUUUUUAAAAAUUAUUUUAGAUGUAGAUAUUUGUCCCCGUACAUUUAAUUUAAAAUUCCUAACUUAACUGAAAUUGAAAAAGCACUAAGUGACACGUUUGUUUGCUUAAUUAUAUGACUGUUCCAAUAUCUGUAACACUUUAUUCAUCCAUUUGUGCUUACACUCAUAACAAAAAACUUGUCCAUGGAUUUGAAAAUAAUCUUCUUUUGUCCUAUACAUUUUUAAGCUUGAAUGGAUGUUAGAGUGUGACUUUGUUCAAAAGACGGAUAUGCAAUGUUGAUAUUACAAAAAUUGUCAUCUUAACUGGUUCUAGAGUCCGGUAAUUCGUACUCCUUAAGUUAUUUGUGGUAGCAUUGCUGCACCUGUUUUCCUUAUAGGUAUUGGAAACUCCAUUGUAUUUGUUAAACCAACACUUGUUUGGCCUGCAAUGCAUUAGUCAUUCAGCCCAUGAAUGCAGCUAAGUGCAAAAUUGACUUCCGCUGUAAGUCCCUCUAACCUUUAUCAGUGUCAUAUAUUCAUUCAUGGUCUAUUACUAAACAAAUUUCGUGAUUUGAAGUUUCUCCUACUAGCUGCACAUCCUAUUGCUUUUCCAACUCAUCCAGCGGUUCAAAUAACUUUCAACAGUGUAUGGACAACUACAAUUAGCAUGUAAAGCACCGAGAACCUUUAUGCUGUUCUAUUUUUUUUUUGGUCCAAACUAGUGACAUUUACAUGCCAAUGUGCAUAACAAUGGCAAAAUUUCUGCUCUUAUAUGCAGCAAAUGAACAAGAAAUUGCAGUGGACUUAUACCAUGGACUUCAACUUCAUCACCACAUAUGUUGAUUGGAAGCAAACGAAAAAAUGCGACAAUCAUAAGGCAAAUGACUAGAAUUACGAUAUGCUUGCCGCAUAUUUGAGGGAACAUUUUGAGAUGCAAGUCACCGGGGGCCAGUGCCAGUCAAGAUUGUAUAGGUUCAAGAAAAAGUAGAAUGUGUUUUCCAAUCUUCGUGGUUUGUCUUCUAAACCUGAGACUGGGAUUGGUUGGGACAAAGAAAGUAACUGCUUCAUGGCCAGCGACGAGCACUGGCCCCAAAUGGAAGCAAUAUGCGAGCAUAUAUUUGCAUUCCUUUCUCCAUGCUCACCCUCCAUUUGUGUAUCGUACUUGCUCAACAUGAAAUACCUACUCAAUUGCUUUUACUAAAGUUGUUCAAAUAAACGU
rnacentral:lncRNA from 1 species